CCUACGGGAGGCUGCAGUGAGGAAUAUUGGUCAAUGGACGAGAGUCUGAACCAGCCAAGUAGCGUGAAGGAUGACUGCCCUAUGGGUUGUAAACUUCUUUUAUAUGGGAAUAAAAUGUUCCACGUGUGGGCUUUUGUAUGUACCAUAUGAAUAAGGAUCGGCUAACUCCGUGCCAGCAGCCGGUGUAAUACGGAGGAUCCGAGCGUUAUCCGGAUUUAUUGGGUUUAAAGGGAGCGUAGGUGGAUUGUUAAGUCAGUUGUGAAAGUUUGCGGCUCAACCGUAAAAUUGCAGUUGAAACUGGCAGUCUUGAGUACAGUAGAGGUGAGCGGAAUUCGUGGUGUAGCGGUGAAAUGCUUAGAUAUCACGAAGAACUCCGAUUGCGAAGGCAGCUCACUGGACUGCAACUGACACUGAGGCUCGAAAGUGUGGGUAUCAAACAGGAUUAGAUACCCUAGUAGUC
rnacentral:rRNA from 1 species